AACCAUGAUGGGGACACAAGCUAAGUACUCUUUAAAACAUUCAAAUGCUUGAUACAAAGUCUCACUAUUAUUUUGUGUAAGAAUUGAGAUUUGCCUUUUCAAAGCAU